ACGGACGAAAUCAGUGAUCCUAUGCUGCCGAGAAAAGCAUCGACGCGAGGUUCCAAUCGCCCGUACCCCAAACCGACUCAGGUGGUCAGGUAGAGAAUACUAAGGAGAUCGAGAGAAUCGUGGUUAAGGAACUCGGCAAAAUGCCCCCGUAACUUCGGGAGAAGGGGGGCCUGAGGCGUGUAGGGAUUUACUCCUGAAGCGUUUGAAGGCCGCAGAGACCAGUGGGAAGCGACUGUUUACUAAAAACACAGGUCCGUGCUAAGUCGCAAGACGAUGUAUACGGACUGACGCCUGCCCGGUGCUGGAAGGUUAAGAGGAACGGUUAGCACGCAAGUGCGAAGCUGAGAAUUUAAGCCCCAGUAAACGGCGGUGGUAACUAUAACCAUCCUAAGGUAGCGAAAUUCCUUGUCGGGUAAGUUCCGACCUGCACGAAUGGCGUAACGACUUCCCAGCUGUCUCAACCGCGAACUCGGCGAAAUUGCACUACGAGUAAAGAUGCUCGUUACGCGCAGCAGGACGGAAAGACCCCGUGACCUUUACUACAGCUUGGUAUUGGUGUUCGGUGUGGCUUGUGUAGGAUAGGUGGGAGACUGUGAAGCUCGGACGCUAGUUCGGGUGGAGUCAUUGUUGAAAUACCACUCUGGUCACUCUGGAUAUCUAACUUCGAACCGUAAUCCGGUUCAGGGACAGUGCCUGGUGGGUAGUUUAACUGGGGCGGUUGCCUCCUAAAGAGUAACGGAGGCGCCCAAAGGUUCCCUCAACCUGGUUGGUAAUCAGGUGUCGAGUGUAAGUGCACAAGGGAGCUUGACUGUGAGACUGACAAGUCGAGCAGGGACGAAAGUCGGGACUAGUGAUCCGGCAGUGGCUUGUGGAAGCGCUGUCGCUCAACGGAUAAAAGGUACCUCGGGGAUAACAGGCUGAUCUUGCCCAAGAGUCCAUAUCGACGGCAUGGUUUGGCACCUCGAUGUCGGCUCGUCGCAUCCUGGGGCUGGAGUAGGUCCCAAGGGUUGGGCUGUUCGCCCAUUAAAGCGGUACGCGAGCUGGGUUUAGAACGUCGUGAGACAGUUCGGUCCCUAUCCGCUGCGCGCGUAGGAAAUUUGAGAAGAUCUAUCCCUAGUACGAGAGGACCGGGAUGGACGAACCUCUGGUGUGUCAGUUGUUCCGCCAGGAGCACCGCUGAUUAGCUACGUUCGGAACGGAUAACCGCUGAAAGCAUCUAAGCGGGAAGCCGGCUUCGAGAUGAGAUUUCCAUCCCUUUUGGGGUGAAGGCUCCCGGCUAGACUACCGGGUUGAUAGGCAGGAUGUGGAAGCG
rnacentral:rRNA from 1 species